rnacentral:rRNA from 1 species
UACAGAGGUCUCAAGCGUUGUUCGGAUUCAUUGGGCGUAAAGGGUGCGUAGGUGGCGCCGUAAGUCGGGUGUGAAAUUUCGGAGCUUAACUCCGAAAAUGCAUUCGAUACUGCAAGGCUAGAGUUCGGCAGGGGAGACUGGAAUUCAAGGUGUAGCGGUGAAAUGCGCAGAUAUCUUGAGGAACACCGGUGGCGAAGGCGGUUCUCUUGGCAUGUUCUGACGCUGAGGAGCGAAAGUGUGGGGAGCAAACGGG